GAAUCCAUAGGUUAAUGAGGCGAACCGGGAGAACUGAAACAUCUCAGUACCCCGAGGAAAAGAAAUCAACCGAGAUUCCCCUAGUAGCGGCGAGCGAACGGGGAGCAGCCCAGAGUCUUAAUCAAUAACAGUGUCAGGAGAACGGUCUGGAAAGUCCGGCAGUAAAGGGUGAUAGCCCCGUAUCUGAAGAUGCUGUUAUUGUGAACUCGAUGAGUAGGGCGGGACACGUGUUAUCCUGUCUGAAUAUGGGGGGACCAUC
rnacentral:rRNA from 1 species